rnacentral:lncRNA from 1 species
AAUUCUGUUUUGCCUAAAAUCCAUUUAAUGUUAAAAUUUUAAUUAUACACUGUACAAAUUUCAGGUUUUGUACAGAGAAUGUUGAAAUUCCUCAUCUUCCUCAAGAUUUUGAAGUUGCAAAAUAUAACACCUUGGAGAAAGUGGGAAUGGAGGGAGGCCAGGAAGCUGUGGUUGUGGAGCUGCAGUGUUCGCAGGACUCCAGGGACUGUCCUUUCCUGAUAUCCUCACACUUCCUCCUGGCUGAUGGCAUGCAGCAAGCCCACGUCUGUGUAGAGCACCCCUUGGGUGAGCCUGGUUUGCCGAGCAGAGAAGCCUGUCCACCUUAUAGCAGUGAGCCUUAGCCCGUGGUUCUGCUGAAGACUUUCCAGCUUGCCCUUCUGCUUAAUAAAACCAUUUUGAUGGGAAUCUUCCAAA